rnacentral:rRNA from 1 species
AUUGAACGCUGGCGGCAUGCUUUACACAUGCAAGUCGAACGGUAACAGGCCGCAAGGUGCUGACGAGUGGCGAACGGGUGAGUAAUGCAUCGGAACGUGCCCAGUCGUGGGGGAUAACGCAGCGAAAGCUGUGCUAAUACCGCAUACGAUCUAUGGAUGAAAGCGGGGGACCGUAAGGCCUCGCGCGAUUGGAGCGGCCGAUGUCAGAUUAGGUAGUUGGUGGGGUAAAGGCUCACCAAGCCAACGAUCUGUAGCUGGUCUGAGAGGACGACCAGCCACACUGGGACUGAGACACGGCCCAGACUCCUACGGGAGGCAGCAGUGGGGAAUUUUGGACAAUGGGCGCAAGCCUGAUCCAGCAAUGCCGCGUGCAGGAAGAAGGCCUUCGGGUUGUAAACUGCUUUUGUACGGAACGAAAAGGUUUGGGUUAAUACCCUGGGCCGAUGACGGUACCGUAAGAAUAAGCACCGGCUAACUACGUGCCAGCCGCCGGCGUAAUAC